rfam:Hordeum vulgare subsp. vulgare, WGS project CAJW01000000 data, contig: morex_contig_57248
UAAGUACUCCCUCCGUCCCAAAAUUUUUGUCUUAGAUUUGUCUAAAUAUGAAUGUAUCUUAUAAGUACUUAGAUACAUCCAUUUCUAGACAAACGUAAGACAAAAGUUUUGGGACGGAGGGAGUACUAU